UCCUGGGAGUUGUCUCAGUUGGUAGAGCAAGAUUCUUAAUCUCAGGGUCAUGGGUUCGUGCCCCAUGUUGGGUAA